GAUGAACGCUGGCGGCGUGCCUAAUACAUGCAAGUCGAGCGAACAGACGAGGAGCUUGCUCCUCUGACGUUAGCGGCGGACGGGUGAGUAACACGUGGAUAACCUACCUAUAAGACUGGGAUAACUUCGGGAAACCGGAGCUAAUACCGGAUAAUAUAUUGUACCGCAUGGUUCAAUAGUGAAAGACGGUUUUGCUGUCACUUAUAGAUGGAUCCGCGCCGCAUUAGCUAGUUGGUAAGGUAACGGCUUACCAAGGCAACGAUGCGUAGCCGACCUGAGAGGGUGAUCGGCCACACUGGAACUGAGACACGGUCCAGACUCCUACGGGAGGCAGCAGUAGGGAAUCUUCCGCAAUGGGCGAAAGCCUGACGGAGCAACGCCGCGUGAGUGAUGAAGGUCUUCGGAUCGUAAAACUCUGUUAUUAGGGAAGAACAAAUGUGUAAGUAACGAUGCACGUCUUGACGGUACCUAAGCAGAAAGCCACGGCUAACUACGU
rnacentral:rRNA from 1 species